ACGGCUUACCAAGGCGAUGAUGCAUAGCCGAGUUGAGAGACUGAUCGGCCACAAUGGAACUGAGACACGGUCCAUACUCCUACGGGAGGCAGCAGUAGGGAAUCUUCCACAAUGGGCGCAAGCCUGAUGGAGCAAGUGCGGGUGAGUGAAGAAGGGUUUCGGCUCGUAAAGCUCUGUUGUUGGAGUUGAACGUGCGUGAGAGUAACUGUUCACGCAGUGACGGUAUCCAACCAGAAAGUCACGGCUAACUACGUGCCAGCAGCCGCGGUAAUACGUAGGUGGCAAGCGUUAUCCGGAUUUAUUGGGCGUAAAGCGAGCGCAGGCGGUUGCUUAGGUCUGAUGUGAAAGCCUUCGGCUUAACCGAAGAAGUCCAUCGGAAACCGGGCGACUUGAGUGCAGAAGAGGACAGUGGAACUCCAUGUGUAGCGGUGGAAUGCGUAGAUAUAAGGAAGAACACCAGUGGCGAAGGCGGCUGUCUGGUCUGCAACUGACGCUGAGGCUCGAAAGCAUGGGUAGCGAACAGGAUUAGAUACCCUGGUAGUCCAUGCCGUAAACGAUGAGUGCUAGGUGUUGGAGGGUUUCCGCCCUUCAGUGCCGGUGCUAACGCAUUAAGCACUCCGCCUGGGGAGUACGACCGCAAGGUUGAAACUCAAAGGAAUUGACGGGGGGGGGCAGAAGCGGUGGAGCAUGUGGUUUAAUUCGAAGCUACGCGAAGAACCUUACCAGGUCUUGACAUCUUGCGCUAACCUUGAGAUAAGGCGUUCCCUUCGGGGACGCAAUGACAGGUGGUGCAUGGUCGUCGUCAGCUCGUGUCGUGAGAUGUUGGGUUAAGUCCCGCAACGAGCGCAACCCUUGUUACUAGUUGCCAGCAUUAAGUUCCCCUUUCUAGUGAGACUGCCGGUGACAAACCGGAGGAAGGUGGGGACGACGUCAGAUCAUCAUGCCCCUUAUGAC
rnacentral:rRNA from 1 species